UGUUAUAUUUGCAACAGAUGAACAUGCUUCACCACUGUAUAGAUGCCUGAUUUGGUGACCUUGGCAGAUUCUGCAAGUCCCUAAAAUCCCAACAGACAAGAGACACGUCAGGCCACAUGACAGCAUACUGCUGAUGCAUGAACUGGAGGUGCCACAGUAGGGAAUGAAAAAGCGGUGGCUGAAAGAGCAGAUCUGAUCCUCAGCACAUGAGAAUUGACAGGUCAGCAUUACAAUGAAAGAUAAGUAAAUGGUUCCUGUCAGUGAAAUUUUUUUUUCUUCUGUUUGUCAGUAUAGAAGGUACAAUCAAUCUGUUCCAUGUUAAACUUUGCAGCCACUAAAACUGCAACACAGAACUGAAAUGCAGCUUUUCAUUCUGUGGCUAAGGGACCAGCAUAAAUAACUGCAGUUCUGCUGCUGAUGGAAAUGAGCACUGGGGUAAUCUGUCUUUGCACUGCAGUUGCCAUGGCUACUGGGUCACAGCACCAGAUAUGCUGUCACGUUUCCUGCAUCCUCAUGUACUGCACUCAAUGGUCUUGUUGGAAAAGAGAAAAGGGAAAACUUGCACUAUAUUUUUCAUUUUCUGUUGCAUAGCACACUUCCAUGUCUCCAGUAAGCUCACCCUGGUCCAUGGAGAUCAAACAGGAGUUUCAUACAGAUUUGUCUUUUCAGACACACUCAGGAUGCUGCCAUAAAGACCUGGAUCAGAAGGACCUAGAUCUCCUCCACUGUGAGUUUUUUCCACUUCUAUUACCUUUAGGAAGUUUAAAAUAGCACAAACUUCCUUUUUUUUUUUUUUUUUCUUCCCACAGUUAUGCUUAGUCACUUGCAAUCAACUUUCUGUUCACCCUUUGAGCUGCUUCUGUUUUCUUCCUACCACCCUGUCCUGCAAAUGUAGAAGAUAUUUUGCCUGCCAUGUUAAUCAGCCAGUACCUGGUUUCACUUUAACAGCUUUAACAAGAAAAAGCUCUAGUUGAAAUAUGCUGUUUUAUAAAGUGUAAAGAUGGAAUAUGGACUACAGAAAAACAAAACUGGGCACAUCUCAACCACAGAACUCUUUGUUAUAAACAUCUAAAGCUAGUAGUCUCUAACAUGCCCUCCAUAUUAGUAAUGCUGUUUACAGCUUACAAUCUGUCCACUUCAAACAGGAUUGUUGGCUUGAUAUUAUUUAGCAAUGUGUUUCUUUUCUUGCUGAGGCUUAAUAUCCUUCCUUCACACUUAUCUGCUUUCUUCUGCACUGUUAUUAACACAGUAAAAAAUGACUUCAUCCCUGAUGGGUUAUGAAUUUCCCAAUAAUACAUAACUAUUCAACUUCUUAUGGUUGGUCUGAUUAUCUCAAGGACUCUCUUCCAAUUUUAGCAGCCUUCCAAAGCUUUGCCUGACCAUUUCAAAGGGUUAUUUAGAUCCAGCACAAGGCAUGAGUCACUUGAAAGAAUUUCUCUCUUACUUAAAUACAAUAUGGAAAAAUCAUUCAGCCUCCGAUUUGGAUCCUAUCUUUAUUGCUGUAUGAAUAUUAUAACAAUGC
rnacentral:lncRNA from 1 species